UGCAGCAAGCCACACCUGGAGAAGCUGAUCCUGGGCAUCACCCGCAACCUGGAAUCUUCCCUAGGUGUGACAGAAGUGACCGUCAUAGAAAAGGCACCUGCUGAUUGUCAUGAUUUCUUCAUGGGAACAAAAGAAUAACUAUGUGAUGCCUGAGGAUGUGAAGAACUUCUACUUGAAGACCAAUGGCUUCCACACGACAUGGAGUGUGAAGCUGGAUGAGCACAUCAUUCCAGUGGGCAUCAUGGCAAUCAGCAGCAUCUCAAAGCUGACUCAGCUCAACCAGUCUUCCAUGUAUUUACUUCCUAAUGCACCGACUCUGGCAGACCUGGAGGAUGAUGCACAGGAAGCUAGUGAGGACCAGCCAGAGAAGCCUGUUUGACUCUCGCAGUGUGAUAUUUGAGCUGGAGUCAUGCAAUGGGAAUGGAAAAGUUUGCCUGGUCUACAAAAGUGGAAAACCAGCUCAAGACACUGAGAUCUGGUUCCUGAACCAUGCAUUCAUUAUACUGGCAUUUUCUUACAGAUACCUUUACCACCUAUUAUUGCCUGCUCAUCACCCACCUGGACUUGCCCCAGUGGCAGUAAGCCUUCACCAGCUAUGUAUGGCAUCAACCCACAAGCCAAGCAAUGGUUCAACAUGUAUAAACCCAUCACCUACAACACAAACCUGCUCACAGAAGAAAGCGACUCCUUUGUGAAUAAACUGAAUCCCAGCAAAGUGUUUAAGAGCAAGAAUAAGCCCUUAAUCCCAAAAAAGAAAGGGCCCGUGUAGCCUGCAGGUGGCCAGAAAGGGCCCUCAGGUUCCAACACUUCUAAGUCCUCCUCUUCCUCUGGAAACCCCAUCCAGAAAUGA